UACGUAGGGUGCAAGCGUUAAUCGGAAUUACUGGGCGUAAAGCGUGCGCAGGCGGUGAUGUAAGACAGGUGUGAAAUCCCCGGGCUUAACCUGGGAACUGCAUUUGUGACUGCAUCGCUGGAGUGCGGCAGAGGGGGAUGGAAUUCCGCGUGUAGCAGUGAAAUGCGUAGAUAUCGAGAGGAACACCUGAGGUGAAGACGGGUUGCUGGGCCGACACUGACGCUGACAGCGCGAAAGCCAGGGGAGCAAACGGG
rnacentral:rRNA from 1 species